CGCUGUUCGCUGGGGAGAUGUUUGGAUUUGCAAAUGUUUGUCAGAGGGCUGCAUGGCAGAUGCUGACACAGAAACACCUCACAGGCAUUGCUGCCUUUCGGUUCUUCUAUUUUCAGUGCUGUGACCACCAUCCAACCGUGGUGCGGGAUUGGUGGUGACCCACAUUUUGGCAGUGCUUAUGUCUAGGGAGGGUGGUGGCAGGAAAGCAAUGUCUGGAGGGAAUCGGCACAGCGCUGUGAGCGUGGUGUGAGCCUGGUUCAGGUCUUGUAGCAGCCCUGGGCUGGGAGAAAGGCUUCUGGGUGCAACACCCAGUGUGCAAAGGCUGCAGGAGGGAAGGGAUCCCCGCGGGGGUCUGUUCUCUGCACGCUGCCCUGGGGCACUACGUGGCCACAGCAGCUCCACACGGUGCGAUUGCCACCUACAGACCCUGCGGCUGCAUUUCGCCACUGCUGCGGGAAAAGGCGCCUGGAGCUGUGAGCUGUGUGUGUGCCUGCAGCUGUCUGUGUGCCUGCAGCUGUGUGUCUGCAGCUGUGUGCUGGGCUGGUAGAAGGGAUGGAGCUGCGGGCUGCAGCAGUGCUGGUGGCACUGGUCUGCCUUGGGGAGCACCUGCUGCCUGGAAGUGGGAUGGGGUCAGAUGGGUUCUGAUAGGGUCAGGUGGGUUUGGGAAGGAUGGAUGGAGUGGGAUGGGGUGCAGUAGGAAGGAAUGAAUCGGUGAAUCCUGAAGAAGCAAGAGGAGCCUGAUGGGUUCCCAGCCUAGGGGAAUAUCAGGGUUGGUGGGAGAGAGGAGCCAGGGAGCGCAGUGCCUGUGCCACAGCCAUCUGCAGGACUCUGGGGUACAGACACCCACUGGGACCCAGAGGUGCUGCAUCCUCACUGCAGUUUGUUCUGCACAUUGAUGUGCAUUGCAGCAGCCCUCAUAGCUCUUCUGGUGCUGGUGGUUAAAGUAGGAAUGACUCAUGUGACCCACAUUGUGUCUGGAUACUGCAAGUACGCAGACAGAGCCCUGUGGCAGCCCAUGGUGGGACAGCACCCACAGCCGGGGGGGAAAUCAGGAGAGUCAGAGAUAAUUGGGUUAAUGUGCCCUGACCCCGAGUUCACAAAUAAUCCCAAGUAUUUGGGGCACACAUCAGCAGAAAAACUCUGAUUCAGGUCAUAAGAACAAAUGAAAGCUGUGCUGGAGUGGAAAUUACUUUCAUCGUAUGGGAAAAGAGUUUAUGCGGAUCUCUAUUGCUCCAAAGUGUUUACAUUACCUUCAACCCCGCAGUCAGGCCCUUGGCACACUUUAGAGUUAGGCUUAAUUGCUGUUUAAUCAUUCAUUAUAUGCUGUAAAGGAAACGAAGACCCACGUGCUGAGUGCUGUGCAUGCGGCUGUGCGGUGCAGUGGGAGCAGAACUGCACGCCGUGUUUGCAGCCCCACUUCUCCCCCUGUUUGUGCUGCCUGGAAACACAGCUCCUGGGCAGCCCCAUCCCCAUCUGUGAUUGCAAAUUAGCAGCCUAAUCCAACCGAUCUUAUAUUUUCUCCUGGAGAUGCUUGUCUCAACCUGAUUUGUAAUCUGUUUUUACCAGCUGCUCCUGCUGCUGCCUCUUGCAAUUUCUUUUUGCACGUGACUUACACUGGAUUAAAAAAAUAUCUAUCUGAUUCUCCCUGGUGCCAAACAUCCCUUCUGCUGGAGACCACGCUGUACGCGUUGUGCAAUAUGAUGGGAGCCCCACCAGCACAGCGCUCUCUUCCUUUCCAUGGGAUUUAUUGAGUACAGUGAGGUCUCAGCCUAAUCUUCUCUCGCACCC
ensembl:lncRNA